UUUCCGUAGGUGAACCUGCGGAAGGAUCAUUAUUGUAUAACCGAGGUGCGAGGGCUGUCGCUGACCCGAAAGGUCGUGCACGCCCGAGUGCCCUCACACACAUCCAUCCCACCCCUAUAUGCACCACCGCGUGGGUCCCCCUUUGGCUUGUUCGGAGGGGGGCUUACGUUUUCACACAAACUUUGUAUGCAGUGUAGAAUGUAUUUUUUGUUUUUGCGAUCACGCAAUCAAUACAACUUUCAACAACGGAUCUCUUGGCUCUC
rnacentral:misc_RNA from 1 species